UACGUAGGGUGCGAGCGUUAAUCGGCAUUACUGGGCGUCACGCGUGCGUAGGCGGUUCUGCACGUCAGAUGUGCAAUCCCCGGGCUUAACCUGGGAACUGCGUUUGAAACUACGGGGCUAGAGUGUGGCAGAGGGGGGUGGAAUUCCACGUGUAGCAGUGAAAUGCGUAGAUAUGUGGAGGAACACCGAUGGCGAAGGCAACCCCCUGGGCCGACACUGACGCUGAGGCACGAAAGCGUGGGGAGCAAACAGG
rnacentral:rRNA from 1 species